rnacentral:rRNA from 1 species
ACUUUCCAGAGAUGGAUUGGUCCUUCGGGACACAUUNAAACANNUNCUNCAUANCUNUCNUCANCUCCUCUCCUGAGAUCUUGGGUUAACUCCCGUAACGAGCGCAACCCUUGUCCUUANUUACCAGCACGUAAUGGUGGGCACUCUAAGGAGACUGCCGGUGACAAACCGGAGGAAGGUGGGGAUGACGUCAAGUCAUCAUGGCCCUUACGGCCUGCSCUACACACGUGCCUACAAUGGUCGGUCACAGAGGGUUGCCAAGCCGCGAGGUGGAGCUAAUCCCAYAAAACCGAUCGUAGUCCGGAUCGCAGUCUGCAACUCGACUGCGUGAAGUCGSAAUCGCUAGUAAUCGCGAAUCAGAAUGUCGCGGUGAAUACGUUCCCGGGCCUUGUACACACCGCCCGUCACACCAUGGGAGUGGGUUGCACCAGAAGUASCUAGUCUAACUUCGGGAGGACGGUUACCACSGUGUGAUUCAUSACUGGGGUGAAGUCGUAACAAGGUA